UCUGUGGAUCGUUACAUCAAAUGAAAGUAGUUAGUAACAUUGAGUAAACGUUACAACAAAAUCAGACGGGAUGAAGCAGAAA
rnacentral:sRNA from 12 species